rnacentral:RNase_P_RNA from 1 species
CGAGCAGGACGGGCGACCGCUGCCCCAACUCCUUGGGGGAGAGGAAAGUCCGGGCUCCUCCGGGCAGGGUGCUGGGUAACUCCCAGGCAUCCCGGAGGCUCUCGCAGCCAAUGGGAUGACGGAAAGUGGCACAGAAACACACCGCCGGGUAGGCCCUUGCAAAUGCCUAACGGAGAGCAAGUCUUUCUUGAAGCAUUCGCAAGGUCCCGGUAAGGGUGAAAUCGGGCGGUAAGAGCGUCCGGCUGGACUGGCGACAGGUCAGCGGCCAAACCCCACCUGGAGCAAGGCCGAAUAGGGGAACGAUGGGUGCCCGGCCCGUUCCCGGGUUGGCUGCUUGAGUCCCUCGGAAACGGGGGACCUAGAUAGAUGGUCGCCACGCAGCCAAGUAUGUCUGCGUACAGAACCCGGCUUAUAGUCCUGUCCGAUCC